rnacentral:rRNA from 1 species
GACGAACGCUGGCGGCGUGCUUAACACAUGCAAGUCGAACGGUAAGGCCCUUCGGGGUACACGAGUGGCGAACGGGUGAGUAACACGUGGGUGAUCUGCCCUGCACUUCGGGAUAAGCCUGGGAAACUGGGUCUAAUACCGGAUAGGACUCCUGCCUGCAUGGGUGGGGGUGGAAAGCUUUUGCGGUGUGGGAUGGGCCCGCGGCCUAUCAGCUUGUUGGUGGGGUGAUGGCCUACCAAGGCGACGACGGGUAGCCGGCCUGAGAGGGUGACCGGCCACACUGGGACUGGGAUACGGCCCAGACUCCUACGGGAGGCAGCAGUGGGGAAUAUUGCACAAUGGGCGCAAGCCUGAUGCAGCGACGCCGCGUGAGGGAUGACGGCCUUCGGGUUGUAAACCUCUUUCAGCACAGACGAGGCGCAAGUGACGGUAUGUGCAGAAGAAGGACCGGCCAACUACGUGCCAGCCGCCGCGGUAA